CGAAAUUCCUUGUCAGGUAAGUUCUGACCCGCACGAAUGGCGUAACGAUUUGGGCGCUGUCUCAACAGCCCACCCGGCGAAAUUGUAGUACUGGUGAAGAUGCCAGUUACCCGCAACUAGACGGAAAGACCCCAUGGAGCUUUACUGUAGCUUAAUACUGAGGAUUGGUAAUUGAUGUACAGGAUAGGUGGGAGACUUGGAAGUCAGGGCGUCAGCUUUGAUGGAGUCACCCUUGGGAUACCACCCUUCAAUUGCUGGUUUUCUAACCUGCGGCCGUGAAUCCGGUCGGGGGACACUGUCAGGUGGGCAGUUUGACUGGGGCGGUCGCCUCCCAAAGAGUAACGGAGGCGCCCAAAGAUACCCUCAGCUUGGAUGGAAAUCAAGCGCAGAGUGCAAAGGCAUAAGGGUGUUUGACUGCGAGACCUACAAGUCGAGCAGGGACGAAAGUCGGGCUUAGUGAUCCGGCGGUGCUGAAUGGAAAGGCCGUCGCUCAACGGAUAAAAGCUACCCUGGGGAUAACAGGCUGAUCUCCCCCAAGAGUUCACAUCGACGGGGAGGUUUGGCACCUCGAUGUCGGCUCAUCGCAUCCUGGAGCUGAAGUCGGUUCCAAGGGUUGGGCUGUUCGCCCAUUAAAGCGGUACGCGAGCUGGGUUCAGAACGUCGUGAGACAGUUCGGUCCCUAUCUGUCGUGGGCGUAGGAAGUUUGAGAAGAUCUGUCCUCAGUACGAGAGGACCGGGAUGGACAUAUCAAUGGUGCACCAGUUGUCACGCCAGUGGCACAGCUGGGUAGCUAAAUAUGGAAGGGAUAAACGCUGAAGGCAUCUAAGUGUGAAACCCACUUCAAGAUGAGACUUCCCAUUACGCAAGUAAGUAAGACCCCUUAAAGACGAUAAGGUUGAUAGGUCAGGAGUGUAAGCAUGGCGACAUGUUCAGCGGACUGAUACUAAUAGGUCGAGGACUUAACCUA
rnacentral:rRNA from 1 species